ensembl:snRNA U2 U2 spliceosomal RNA
AUUGCUUCUCAGCCUUUUGGCUAAGAUCAAGUGUAGUGUCUUUGACAGUGCUGCACUUGAUUGGAGAAGCGAUCGCUGGCCGGAGGGCGCCUGGGAAACUGUGCUAUUUAUUUUUUGUUUAAAAUCAUUGUUGUAUUGUUUCACUAAUGUUUUUCCUUGCCCUGGGUUAGGUGGUAGUUUAUGCUGGUAACAGGUAUCACCAGCCAGCUUCAGUCCAUACCGC